rnacentral:misc_RNA from 1 species
GAUGAAGAACGCAGCGAAAUGCGAUAAGUAAUGUGAAUUGCAGAAUUCAGUGAAUCAUCGAAUCUUUGAACGCACCUUGCGCCCUUUGGCUAUUCCGAAGGGCAUGCCUGUUUGAGUAUCAUGAACACCUCAACCCUCAUGGUUUGCCAUGAUGGGCUUGGACUUUGGGGGUCUUGCUGGAUUGUAGUCAGCUCCCCUUAAAUGAAUCAGCUUGCCAGUGUUUGGUGGCAUCACAGGUGUGAUAAAUAUCUACGCUUGUGGUUUUACAUCAGAUAACCUUCAGUGAUGGAGGUUCACUGGAGCUCAUAAAGGUGUCUCUCCUCUGUGAGGACAGCUCUUUGAAUGUUUGAUCUCAAAUCAGGCAGGACUACCCGCUGAACUUAAGCAUAUCAAUAGCGGAGGA